UUGAACGCUGGCGGCAGGCCUAACACAGGCAAGUCGAGCGGAUGAAGGGAGCUUGCUCCUGGAUUCAGCGGCGGACGGGUGAGUAAUGCCUAGGAAUCUGCCUGGUAGUGGGGGAUAACGUCCGGAAACGGGCGCUAAUACCGCAUACGUCCUGAGGGAGAAAGUGGGGGAUCUUCGGACCUCACGCUAUCAGAUGAGCCUAGGUCGGAUUAGCUAGUUGGUGGGGUAAAGGCCUACCAAGGCGACGAUCCGUAACUGGUCUGAGAGGAUGAUCAGUCACACUGGAACUGAGACACGGUCCAGACUCCUACGGGAGGCAGCAGUGGGGAAUAUUGGACAAUGGGCGAAAGCCUGAUCUAGCCAUGCCGCGUGUGUGAAGAAGGUCUUCGGAUUGUAAAGCACUUUAAGUUGGGAGGAAGGGCAGUAAGUUAAUACCUUGCUGUUUUGACGUUACCAACAGAAUAAGCACCGGCUAACUUCGUG
rnacentral:rRNA from 1 species